AAUAGAUACCCGGGUAGUCCACGCCGUAAACGUUGGGUACUAGGUGUGGGGUCUUAUCAACGGAUUCCGUGCCGAAGCUAACGCAUUAAGUACCCCGCCUGGGGAGUACGGCCGCAAGGCUAAAACUACAAAGGAAUUAGACGGGGGCCCGGCACAAGCAGCGGAGCAUGUUGUCUUAAUUUACGAGGCAACGCGAAGAACCUUACCUUGGUUUGUACAUGUAGGGAAAAGACCGUAGAGAUACGGUGUUCCUUUUCGGGUCCCGUACCACAGGUGGUGCAUGGCUGUCGUCAGCUCGUGUCGUGAGAUGUUGGUUACGUCCGCAACGAGCGCACCUUCGUCCUAUGUUGUCACGCACGUAAUAGGUGGGUACGUCGUAGGAGACUGCCGGGGUACGAAC
rnacentral:rRNA from 1 species